AAAUGUCUUUUUAUGUUGUCUAUGAUUUUUUAAAAAUUUAUUACCAAGGUUAAAAGUGCUGAAGCAAUUGUUUCUGCAUCUCCAAAUCAGAUACGCAUAUUAUUUGCUAUCAUCAUUUCGACAUGCUUCCCAUCGAACCCACGUUACCUGUGGAACAAAUACAAAGAUAACAUCUCAGAAGACAUUUUACAUCGAAUUCGUGUCAGCACAAGAAAUCCCGAUAUUGACGCGAAUGAGGAGAUGCAUAACCAGGCUUUGCUCUUGAUCGAAGAUAUCUGUUACCUCAUUUGCGGCAGUUUUUUAGUCAGGUUAGGAAUGCCAGCGCCCGAUCACGGAAUGAAUGACGCAUUUAAUAGAGAAUUGAAACGUGAAGUAAAUACAAUCAGUUCGAACGAAUGUACUACUGUUGAGUCCUAAACAGAGAGAAGUCUAUGAUACAUUGAUUAAUGCAAUUGAUGAUGGAAACGGUGGCUUAUUUUUUCUGGAUGCCCCUGGCGGAAAUGGAAAGACAUUCCUCAUGUCCUCAGUUGCUUCUUCUGGAAUUGCGGACACAUUGUUAGACGGAUGCCAUACGGUUCACUCAGCGUUAAAAUUGCCAUUAAACCUUCAAACUAGUGAAUAAUCGACAUGUAACCUUUCGAAACACUCCGCAAUGACCAAAGUUUCAGUAGUAUCAAAAAUCAUAAUAUGGGACGAAUGCACAAUGAUGCACAAACGCGCAUUGGAAGCUCUUGAACGAACAUUAAAAGAUCUAGGCAAUGACUCGAGAUGUUUUGGUGGUGCAAUGAUUUUACUAUCUGGCGAUUUCCGACAAACACUACUAGUCAUUCCAAGAUCUACUGCUGCCGACGAAAUCAACGCUUUCCUCAAAGCAUCAAAUCUGUGGCGAUAUGCAAAGAAACUUCAACUGUCAGUAAAUAUGAGAGUUGCAUUCUCCAAGUAAUUGCUAACUAUCGGUAAUGGCCGUGUUCCUGUUGACGAAUCCGUCGGAUUGAUUUCGUUUCCUCCAAAUUUUUACAAUUUCGUCUCAUCGAAAGACGAGCUUAUCAACACAGUAUUCUCAGAUAUUAUUGCUAACCACAAAAAUACUAAACGGUUAAGUGAGCGAGCAAUUUUGGCGGCUAAAAAUAAAAAUGUGUCAAGCUGACCUAAAUAUUAUAAUUCAGAAUCAAAUCGUAGGUACUCUGUAUUCUUUCAAAUCUAUCGACUGCGUAACGAACGAAGAUGAAGUCACUAAUUAUCCAACUGAAUUUUUAAGCUCCUUGGAUGUGCCUGGUUUACCACCACACAAUUGGCAACUGAAGGUUGGCUCGGUAGUCAUCAUGCUUAGAAAUUUAAACCAACCAAAACUGUGCAAUGGAACACGUUUGGUGAUAAGAAAACUGAUGAGCAAUGUGAUUCACGCAUUACUCAAAGGAAAAUUUAAAAAUGAGGAAGUUCUUAUUCUAAGGGUUCCGAUGAUCCCAACGGAUAUGCCCUUUGAAUGCCAUGACGAUUAACAAAUCACAGGGCCAAUCAUGGUCUAUUUGUCUCCUCAAUAUAGAAAAUGCAUGUUUUUCUCAUGGUCAGUUGUACGUGGCAUGUUCACGUGUCGGUAAACCAUACGCUUUAUUUGUUCAUGCGCCUGACAAAAAAACAAAGAAUGUCGUUUACUACAAGGUGCUUGAAUGAACAGAGUUAAUCCGAGUGCAUCACAUGCUACACAACAUACUAUAAUUCAAUCUUUUUUUUUCUGGCACGUGUUUGAAGUACAUAAUUUUUAUUUGUAUUCUUUUUCUGUAUGUAUUGUUGAUCAUAAUAAAAUAAUUUUAUAUAUCUAUCUAUGUUCAUAUUUAUUUUGUAUCAUUGUAUUACGUUCAUCAAAGCCUAAAUUAGUUCAGCUAAAAGGUAACACGACAUUAAUUGACUGUUAGGCGGUACGAAGUUCGUAGUAUAUAUAUGUAUAAAUUCAUGAAUGUAACGAAAUAUUCAUAUUCCCGACAAUUUCAUGGCAUUGGUUUGCAAAACUAUGAGAUCAGAUGCCGUUCCAGGUCGAAAAGUUAAAGUGAGGUAGUAGAGAAGUGUGAGUGUAUUGCAACUUGAAAGUAAUUUCUUAAUUGGGUACGGAACACGAAGAAUUGAAGUUGACAACGUUUUGGGGCGUUAAAUUGAUUUGUGGUCACACAUGCUAGUAAAUCGUUGGCAGUAAAGAAUACGAAUUAUUACUGCCAAUCCUAAAAAAAAGCAACAGCUGUAAAUCACUGUCAAAAGUUCCUCAUGCCCAUACAUUUUAUAUGGUGCAUACCUAAAUAGCGCGGCGGCAACGCUGAGUGGUUAAAAAUCCGAUUUUGACAGCGCGUUACGAAGUAAAGUUGGCUGCAGAAAACGAAAAAAUUGUGCAUUGUCUGCAAAAUUUCUGGAUUUCUAAUGCUUGUUCAAAUGGAUUUUGUACUGUCUAAUCUACUCAACAGCCUGGCCUGAAUCUCGUGGAUUAAGUAUCGGUGUGAACAUGGUGUAAUGUUGGUAAGAGCUAAAGCGCAAUGUGAUUGGUAUUGCCGCAGCUUCGUGGCGUUAAACGCAAUUCCCAUGUGUUUAAAUAAGGGAUAUGCUUAUUCCGACAAUGAAAUUCAAGUAAAGAUACACAAUUUGAUCAAUAACUACAGAGAUGAAAAGAAAUCAGUGGGUCCUUCUGGUGGCAGCCCGUCGACUUGGUAAUACUAUAGAAAAAUUAAUGGUAUUCUCAGAGGCUAUAAAAGUUUUAAUUUGGAAACCUUGGUGGGGAAAGCACAGUUCACGAAGUUGUGGAAGAUUAUGAAUCAUCGUUUAAAAGCUCUUCGCUGAUUGGAAUCGAUUCCCAGGAAGAAUUGUCGCUUCCAAAGGAUGAGGCCUGCAAAGAAAAAGAAAAAAACAAAUGUAUCAGUGAACAUUCAAAAUGAAUUUUUGGAGGAAUUCCGGGUGGCAAAUAGAAGAAUAGCGACAGAAAUUGAAGCAAUUAAAGAGGAUGGCAAGGAGGUCCUGCAAAUUGAAGGAGAGAGAAAUACCAUCUUCGAAAAAUUUCUGGAAGCAUUAGGCCUUUUUGUGGCCUUUUCCACCGAUAUAUCUCUAAAAACAUGCGAUUUGUGAUUAACACCACGAAGCUGCUCUAGUCCAAGGGAAGUUCAACUUCUUUCUAAUAAACUAAGAAAUUCACUAUUUAAAUUUUAAGUUUUUAAGUUUAAGUAUUUUGUUUUGUUAAUGAAUUCAACUUGUUUCGUUGUUGAGAUAAAAUUGAUUUACAGUAAAUAAUAAAAUAACAAAAAAUUAA